ensembl:lncRNA
AAUCUGGCUCUGAGUGUUUACCUGCGAUUAUAUGAUAAGUGAUGAAACUUGCCUGUCACAUCCACAAAGGCUCUGGCUUUCAUUGUCUCAUGAUUCCUGGCCGCUUUUGUAUGAGUCACAGUGAGUCAUGUUGAGUGCUCUGACUGUAACACAAGAGGGAGGGGGGUGAUGAGGUGCCGUGGAAAAUGGCUAUUAGAGUCUAAACAGCUAAAGAAGUGCAGAUUUGGAAAUCAGAAGUGGAAAUAUAAGACUUGAGUCUGGAUGGCUGCUUGUUGAUCCGCAGGUUUUUUAAGUUCCUCUCUGCAGUGUCUGUUUUGUUUCUAUUUCGGGGCUUGAUUUUUAGCUUGUUUCAGUAUUUCACCACCACAUCUGUGGAUUUCCUCAUCUUUUCCGGGUCAGACUGAUGAACGUGUGGUCCUUUCACUGGCAGGUCGUCUGAAAGUAAUCGCCUUGGCGUCCGCGGUGGGCGUGUCUGCAGGACUCAUCACUCUGACAGUGGCCAUCAUGAUCAGUAAGAACAUGCACAGAGUGGACACUGAAACAGCUGAAGAUCCUAGCAAGGUGUGUCUGUUGUUUUGCAGAAAUUUGUAGAAUAAUCUGCUCUAAAAGGCAUAUAAUGAGUCUUCAUUAAGAGUUAUUGCUGACCCCUACUUAAUCUUGAUCACAUUUGGUUUUUUGCUUGUGACCCCUGCAGCGUUUACAGUGACAACCGACAGCAGCAUGUUCCAUGAGUCAGCCGAGCAAACGUUUCCAGUUAGAAAGAGCAAGAUGUCAGACAUACCAGAGGAACCUGAGGAAUUGAGUGACAGCUCUCAUCCUGCCAUCGUUCCUUUGAUAGAUGCUCCACCAAUCACUGAAGCCGAAGGCCGCAGUUCUGCCUCCAACUGCAUCUCUGUUCAGUACUCCAGGCUGUCCAGUAUGGAUCAAGUGCAGGUGCACAAUCUGCCUCUGACUUGUACAAAAAAGCCAAAGGAUUCCUCCAGAGUUGCUUAUACUUUACUUCCUGGGCCUCACCGCUGACCAGGAGAUAACAACCUUGAAAGUAAACACCUCAUGGAUCCAAUGUCAAACAAACCGGCUUCUUCUCUCUCCAUCCUCCUGUGACACAGAAAAACUUUCCUCUAUUCUGAGGAGUGAGAGUCCAACUCUCUUAGAAUGCAGCACAUGGACCAGUAUUUGAAUAAAACUCAUGAAUAACGUUGCAUGUCUUUCCCUUUUGGGUUUGAUACAUCCCUCAAGACUGCCUGAUACAACGAGAACCUAAAAUCAUAUUAAAGGACAGUUUUUUUUCUUUUCUUUGAACAGGUGUGAUGAAAUUCACUGUAAAUGUUUUUAUGAUUUCUUCUGUUCCAUCCCCCUAUAUGCUUUCCCUGGUUGCUAGAUUAAACCCUUUGCAUCGUUGGACUAUAAAAAAUGCUGGAUUUGUAUGAAAUUAAAACUCAAUUAACACAACUGCACAAAAAUAUAACCUGCAAGUGGAUCUACAGUAUAUGAAAUGAAAUGCAGCCUGCAUUGUGCUUGUUACAACUAAAUAUUCCACAUUAGUCAUUCAAUGACUGCAGCCCAUUUUAUGAAAACAUGCAUUCCAUAUUAUAGAUUGUUACAAUAAAGAAAUAUGGAAAGAAGCAAAUUCACAUGACUUUGUCUGCUGUCUAAUAUGAUGAGCUCAUUUCACAUGAUGCACAAUUUUUAUUUUAAUAUCAAC